GACGAACCGUGCGAACGUUGUUCGGAAUCACUGGGCAUAAAGGGCGCGUAGGCGGCUUUUCAAGUCAGGGGUGAAAUCCGGCAGCUCAACUGUCGAAGUGCCCUUGAUACUGAUGAGCUCGAGGGAGGUAGGGGUGUGUGGAACUUCCGGUGGAGCGGUGAAAUGCGUUGAUAUCGGAAGGAACGCCGGUGGCGAAAGCGGCAUGCUGGGUCCCUUCUGACGCUGAGGCGCGAAAGCCAGGGGAGCAAACGGG
rnacentral:rRNA from 1 species